UACGGAGGGUGCAAGCGUUGUCCGGAAUCACUGGGCGUAAAGGGCGCGUAGGCGGCUCGAUAAGCGUGUGGUGAAAGCCUGGGGCUCAACCCCGGGUCGGCCAUGCGAACUGUCGAGCUGGAGCACUGUAGAGGCAGGCGGAAUUCCGGGUGUAGCGGUGGAAUGCGUAGAGAUCCGGAAGAACACCGGUGGCGAAGGCGGCCUGCUGGGCAGUAGCUGACGCUGAGGCGCGACAGCGUGGGGAGCAAACAGG
rnacentral:rRNA from 1 species